UAGACUUUUAUAUGUCUUAAUAAAGACUAACUAAUGUUGUUUUUAAUGUUUUAGCAGCGACACUGAUUCCUCAGACUGAACACCAAGUGAGCCAAUGAGAUGAAUGAACUGAGCGGCGUCGGAUGCUGCAGGUCUGUAGUCAGCUCCGCCUCAUCUGCGCCUGCCGCUGCCACACAUCACGUCAGGAAUCUGAUGAACUGUGCCGACCUCAGAUUAACCUCCCGCGACCGCUUUCUUUUUCCGCAAUCCCACACCAUCACCGGAGAAGGAAAACAUGUCAGCACGAGGGAGAAGGACAACUGUAAGGACACUAUUGAAGGAGCAGAAAACCCAGCACAGCCCUGCAGGAAUUGGACGAGAAAGAUUCGGGAGGCGCGGUGGCGCUCGGCAGCCGGCUGCGGAGGAGCGGGCGGGCGAGUCGGGAGAAGGAGCGGAGCGAAACAGCGGGCAUUAAAAGAGAAGAGGUGUGAAAUUGAAACCAAUAAAUCCAGAACAGACUCCUACAGUUGUGGGAGCCACAGCGACCGUAACACUUGGCCUCACCAGUGUUCUCCUUUUUAAUUUGAGCCGAGCCCGCCGUCGUCUGGAGCCGCGUCGGGCCUUGGCAAACGCUCGUGUUCGACGAGACUGGGAGCUGUGUCUUACAAUUACACAUUACCUUAAAAUUGAAAAAUAAAAAAAAGGCAGACACAAAGCUUGAAAUUGUU
rnacentral:lncRNA from 1 species